AUAAAGAAACUUGCAUUUCUGCAGAGAGUGUAUUUCUGCUCGUUUUCGGUCUGCCUUUAUUAUCGCUCUUUUUCUUUCUAAAUACAUAACUCUGAAGAUCAAUAAUUCUCAGUACCACAGGAUAGAAAGGUUAAAAAGGUUACAUUACUAGAGACAAUAAACCGUACUGUUUAUUAAUGCACGUAUGUUUCUCCAGUUUCUGGUAAUCCUGCAUAUUGCAUUUGGAAAAGAAUAACCGAAUUAUUAACCUGUGAUAAAAUUGAUGUUUGUUAUGUAAUGUCAAACAAGAUCAGCUGAGGAAACAGUGGCAAUCAAAGUAAAAUAGUUUGUUAUAGGACCUUGAAUCAUGUCAGAAUAUAAGGCUAAACACUUCCCGGACAAUGCAUGGGAUGCUAUGAAAUAUCCUACUAUUUUUGCUGCCGGAUGGUCGUUAAUAUAUGCAUACUAUGAUGUAACGCAUUUAACCCAGUGUAAAACAAUUCGACAUGCAAUAGGUCGUACAUUAUAUUAUGCGAUUCCACUGCCUGCCCUAGUUGCGAUGUACAUAGCUAUAAAACACACAGCUAAAGAUUAUAGAGGCAGGGAUGAUGCACUCAAUUUAUAUGUAGCAGCGGCUGUUGUUGUGCCUCUCGCACGCAGGUGGGCAUCCUUCCCUACACUAGUUAUGGGUGGAUUGUUCGCUGCUGGACUUGAGAAGAAUUUCAUAGGCUAUAUGUUCCGUGAAAUGAAAUGGGAUGAUACACCGUAUGUGGGACAUAAAAGGAUAGCUACACAUCAUUACAGACGUUAUUAAAAACAGCGUAAUACGUAGAAUCUACAUUGAAGUAUAAUAAAUGUCAUUGUCGCAUGUCUCAAUGUACAUUUAUUUAUAUAUAGCCCAAUAAAUACAAAAAUCUUACUAAAA